CUGUUGCUGCUGCCUCCUAGGCUUUUUGCUCAAACUCAUUGUCACCGUCGUUAUCAUCGUAGGGAUUGCAGUCCUCCUCUUCUGGCUCAUAGUCCGUCCCAACAAGGUUAAGUUCCAUGUGGUUGAUGCCUCCCUCACCGAGUUCAACCUUACCAGCGACAACAUCCUUCAGUAUAACCUUACCGUCAAUAUGACCGUCCGCAACCCCAACAAGCGUAUUGGUAUAUACUUUGAUCGCAUCGAAGCCAAGGCGUACUAUGAGGACGCCUUGUUCGAUUCUGUUGAGUUGGAACGAUAUUACCAGGGCCACAAGUCAACUCAUACCCU
rnacentral:lncRNA from 1 species